AACUUCGGAGGGUAACGAAGACUGGGCAGGCCCGCGUAGAAAGACGUCUUCCCGGGAAGAGGUGGAGGGUGUCCCCAGCACGGGGUACGGACGAGUGGCCCCCGAGUCACAGCGGGGUGAGAUGGGACGGUCACAGGACGUAGACAGUGCGGGACUCACUGCCCUGUCUCCUACUAGAAAUCUCUUUGCGGAGCCUCCUGACGCAACGUGUAAGACAGGACAGUUAUGGAUUGAGACAAGACCGCGGCGCCAGCUGUACGGGUGAGCUCGGGUUGGGCAUUCACCGCUCGUCCCUGGAAACGCUGCGUCACGUGUCACAUCCUGCCCCUCUCCUAUAGGAGGCAGUGUGGGCGGGGGAGGGCGUGUCUGUGGCAGUCACGCCCCUCCUCCCGGUCAAGUUCAGGUUAUUUUUGUUGAAAGUUUUUACUGGGCGUGCAUCCUCACCUCAGGGAGUCGCAGCGCUCGCUGUGAACACAAAGGGCAUCACCCGAGCAGGUCUGCAGAGCGGCGUGGUUCAUGGGCAACCAAGGUGCCUCGAAAAGAUGAAGUUGUGUCGCCUGGAACUGAGCCCUGGCCCCUGCUCGGCUUGGAAUGAGCAUGGAAAUGGCAGAGUUCUUAUCCCAGAUCAGCUCCCAGCUUUCCAGCCCCCACCCCAUCACGAAAGGUACCAGCCUGUCAUCAUGAAACCACUAAGGCUCGGGGACGCAGGUCUGGCCCACGCAUCCAGUCAGGAGCUAGCUGGGAUCUUCUCACAGGUUGAUUGAUGGUGUCUUUGGGCUCUCUGUUCUGUUUCACUGGACUCUUGACUUCUGCCAGUGCCACAGUGCCUUGGUGACUGAAAUCUUCAUAGUAACUUUUUUAAACGUCCUAUAUUGAUAUUUACUUAGUUUACGUUUACAAAGUGUCUUUCCUGAAUAUGAUUUUAAAUGCUGCACGCAUGCAGUACCCAUGGAGGCCAGAAGAGGGCGCUGGAUCCCCCACGGAACUGGAGAUACGGAAGGUUGUGAGCCAUCUUGUGGGUGCUGGGCAUUGGACCCAGCUCCUGUGCAAGAGCAGCCCGGGGCUCAUAGCCAGUGAGCCAUCUCUCCAACCACCUCAUUCCACCAUACUCCUUCCUGUUCUUUCUUUUUUUCUUGCUUCUUUGUAACCCACCGCAAUACAUAAAACAAUAGCUGCAAUAAUGCCACACUCACCAGACUCCUCCCUGCCCUUGGGGGGCGGCGGGGGGGGGGGUCGUCAUUCCUUUGCCCUCUUCCCCUCUUCCAUGAUUCUCCUUGAGCCUCGGUGACAGGGUGUUGGGAGCCGCGCCCACAUUCGCCGUUACAAGAUGGCGCUGACAGCUGUGUUCUAAGUGGUAAACAAAUAAUCUGCGCAUGUGCCAAGGGUAUCUUAUGACUACUUGUGCUCUGCCUUCCCCGUGACGUCAACUCGGCCGAUGGGCUGCAGCCAAUCAAGGAGUGACACGUCCGAGGCGAAGGAGAAUUCUCCUUAAAAAGGGACGGAGUUUCGUUUUCUCUCUCUCUUGCUUCUUGCUCUCUUGCUUCUUGCACUCUGCUCCUGAAGAUGUAAGAAUAAAGCUUUGCCGUAGAAGAUUCUGGUCUGUGGUGUUCUUCCUGGCCGGUCGUGAGAACGCGUCUAAUAACAAUUGGUGCCGAAUUCCGGGACGAGAAAAAAACUCGGGACUGGCGCAAGGAAGAUCCCUCAUUCCAGAACCAGAACUGCGGGUCGCGGUAAUAAAGGUUCCCGUAAAGCAGACUGUUAAGAAGGAUUCAACUGUAUGAAUUCAGAACUUUUCAGCUGGGGAACGAGAGUACCAGUGAGUACAGCUUUACGAGGUAAGCCUGGCCUUGAACUUUCUAACGAAAUUCAAGACAGUCUAUCAGAAGUAAAGUGGAAUAUGUUUGGCCUUGAAUUUUUUCUGGUGUUAGGAGCCCUUUUGUUCCUUUUCACAUGUUAUCAAGUGAUUAAGAUAGGGCGGAUUCUAGAUGAAAUUCAGGACAAGCUAUCAGAAGUAAAGCGGGGAGAGAGAGUAGGAGCAAAGAGAAAAUAUGGUACACAAAAUAAGUAUACAGGCCUUUCCAAGGGUCUUGAACCCGAGGAAAAGUUUAGGUCAGGUAAGAAUACCUGGAGAGAGAUUAGAAGAAAAAGAGGAAAAAGGGAAAA
rnacentral:lncRNA from 1 species